rnacentral:rRNA from 1 species
GACGAACGCUGGCGGCGUGCUUAACACAUGCAAGUCGAACGAAGUGGCGAACGGGUGAGUAACGCGUAAUCAACCUGCCCUUCAGAGGGGGACAACAGUUGGAAACGACGGCUAAUACCGCAUACUGAAGGAGGGGAUUGGGUGUGAUUAGCUAGUGGGAGGGGUAACGGCCCACCAAGGCGAUGAGCAGUAGCUGGUCUGAGAGUAUGAACGGCCACAUUGGGACUGAGACACGGCCCAGACUCCUACGGGGGGAAGCAGUGGGGAAUCUUCGGCAAUGGGCGAAAGUCGGACCGAGCAACGCCGCGUGAGUGAAGAAGGUUUUCGGAUCGUAAAACUCUGUUGUUGGAGAAGCGGUAUCUAACCAGAAAGCCACGGCUAACUACGUGCCAGCCGCCGCGGUAAUAC